GAAGAUUACGGAGAGUCGGAGUGUCAAGGAGGAAUCUCUCUAACUUUUACAGGUGCACAGUAGAGAGCAU